rnacentral:tRNA from 1 species
GCUGAAGUCGGGAGCUGGCCACCUCAGUUCUCUCCUUCGUAAUGAGAAGGUCGCGUGUUCGAUUCAUGUCUCCGGCACCA